rnacentral:rRNA from 1 species
GUGAGGAAUAUUGCGCAAUGGAGGCAACUCUGACGCAGCCAUGCCGCGUGCAGGAAGAAGGCGCUACGCGUUGUAAACUGCUUUUAACCGGGAAGAAACCCCAGGACGUGUCCUGGGUUGACGGUACCGGAGGAAUAAGCACCGGCUAAUUUCGUGCCAGCAGCCGCGGUAAUACGAAGGGUGCAAGCGUUAUCCGGAUUCAUUGGGUUUAAAGGGUGCGUAGGCGGAGCGUUAAGUCAGUGGUGAAAUCCUGCAGCUUAACUGUAGACUUGCCAUUGAUACUGGCGCUCUUGAGUGCGCUUGAAGUGGGCGGAAUGUGCCGUGUAGCGGUGAAAUGCUUAGAUAUGGCACAGAACACCAAUUGCGAAGGCAGCUCACUAAGGCGAUACUGACGCUGAGGCACGAAAGCGUGGGGAUCGAACAGGAUUAGAAACCCCUGUAGUCC